rnacentral:sRNA from 1 species
AUACUUCCAAAAUAUUUAAUAUCAUUUAAUUACUACAAAAUUAUCAUUUUUGAUAUUGAUUUUCUCCAUAACUAUAACAAUUCGAUUAUAAUCAUCAAAGCGCAGAGAUAUAAUCUGAUAGCAUUUAAUUACUACAAAAUUACAAAAUAUUUAGACAAUGAUUCAUAAACAUAUCAUAAAUAAGAUCAACAUUAAUAAAAUAAAUAGUUUUUUUUUUACAGGACGGGUUUGACAGGACGAUACUUAAUAACAUUUGUAAACUAUAAAAUAAAAUUAUUUUAUAGAUAGAUACAAUUUGUAAACUUUUAUAUAUACUAACUUUAAAAAAUAAAUUGUUCCCGCGGUAUACCACAGGUUAAAAUCUAGUUGUUUUUGUAUUUUAACUAAUAAUGUGGACUAAACUUUAGGUGGAAUACCUUUAGUUAACGGAUCCGCUUUCAUGAAAUUUCUACCUAUAUGCUUAACUGAAACCACAUCAUCUUGAAUCCUUUCUCACACAAUAUGACACUCUAUGUCUAUAUGCUUUGAUUGUUCUACUUUUGUUGUUGUUUGCAUAUACACUGCCGCAAAAUUGUCAGACUAAACUUUAAAUGAUCUUUCGACACAUAACCAACAUGUAGUGUUUUUCACAGACUGUUCAAACCUAAUGAAUAUAGUGUUUUCCCUAACCUAAUGGCCGGUGUAUUCUACAAUUUUGAAAGAUUUGCCUGAGUGACAAUAAAAAAAUCUCAAGCUUGUUUCUAUCUCUAAU